AAAGGAGGAGACUAUAUUUAAAAGAAGAAAAACUACCACAACAAGAGGACAUAGUCUUAAAUUAGAGGGACAAAGGUUUAAAAAUAUCAGGAAGUAUUACUUUACUGAGAGGGUAGUGGACGCAUGGAAUAGCCUUCCAGCUGAAGUGGUAGAGGUUAACACAGCAAAGGAGUUUAAGCAUGCGUGGGAUAGGCAUAAGGCUAUCCUAACUAUAAGAUAAG